rnacentral:lncRNA from 1 species
AUCAGAGGAGGGACUCAGGGCUGGGAUGUGGGAGGAAGGGAAUUGGGGUUGAAGUGGCAGGUCUGGGUCCCCAGCAUUUAGAAUUUUUUUUUUUUUUUUCUUUUUAGAGCCACACCAGCGGCAUAUGGAGGUUCCUAGGCUAGGGGUCCAAUUAGAGCUACAGCUGCCGGCCUAUGUCAGAGCCACAGGAACACCAAAUCCGAGCCACGUCUGAGACCUACACCACAGCUCAUGGCAACACCAGAUCCUUAAUCCACUGAGUAAGGCCAGGGAUCGAACCCUCAACCUCAUGGUUCCUAGUUGGAUUCAUGUUCACUGCGCCACAACAGGAACUCCUGCAUUUCGAAAUUUUGUUGGCGCUUCUCACACACUGCUCUCCAGGUUUUCCCUGGAAGAGGCGACUAAGCUGGUCCCUGCAAAUGGGUAUCUUUAAAUCACGUUCAAAUUACCUAUUUUGCUGCAGAGUGCUUUCUUGUUUGUUUUAAUAUCAUGCUCUUUCAGUUUUUACUAGGCUGCAAAAUCACCUGGGAGCUUGUAAACACAGAUUGCUAGACCCCACAGCACCACAGAUUCUGGUACUGGAGGGCUAGGUGGGGCCUGAGAACGGGCAUUUCCACCAAGUUUUGCUGGGUGAUACUGGUGUUGUAGUCAGGGAUCCAUAACCUGAGAACCACUGUCCUGUCCAUCAAGACUUUCAGAAAAAUUGGUACUCCAAGAAGAUGCUCCAUGCCAGCCUUUGUGGCUUCUCAGUACAUCUUCAUGCAGAGAACCUUGUAGGCAAUUGGCACUGGUCCACCGUGGAAAACCACAAAUGCCAAGCCAUGAACAACAGCCCCUUGAAGGGCCGUGGCUGAUGCUCUUCCUGCAUCCUCAGAGUUUGAGGGGAUGGGAAAUGAGCAGGUCAGGCCAUGCAAAGGGUCUGGCUCCAAGGGCCCUUGAGUGGAAAGGUUAUAUCAUGAGCUUUAUCAUCUUGCAGGUGAAUGGUUGGUUCCUGACUUCCUGCAGUCUCUCAUUUGAUAAUAAUUAAAAAAAAGAUUUAAAUCCCCCCUCAUAAACAUAACAGACUCUCUCCAUAUGGACCUAAAGGACAGCAGGGGCCUCGUAAAAGAUACAAAAUGUGUCCCUGCAGGGGAGGAGGUCUCACUUGGAGGAGGGAGGAAGUUGACACGGGUAUUUCCCAGGCUGCAUGUUGAUUCAAAGGAGAAACCAGUCAGUAAACUUUGUAAGAUACUGUCAAAACCAAGCCCAAAGUGCUUGGUGUUAAUUUCAAAAUAUAGAAAGAGAUAGCAUCGACUAGAAAUUGAUCAGUAAAACAUAGCAUUCAACAGAGAACUCUUAAAAAUAAAGGAUGACAUGUGACGUCCUUUUUUAAAGACCCUACGUCCAAGAAAAAUUCCCUCAAGUGAAAACACAAGGUAGCCCUCAACCUUGCCUGGCUCCAUGGGAACGGAACAACGUUCAGCGCAGGGCGAGGCCUGCCUGUUUGUUUCCUGGACUGGUUAGAACCUUCUGUUACUCGUGGAUAGAACUCUGUUUCACAGAGCGAGGGCUGUGGGUGAGGAAAAAGUUGGGGAUUGUGUGCUGUGACCACAAGGCACCAAACUGGGUGACAGUCCCUUCCCGUCGUGGCGCAGUGGUUAACGAACAAACCCGACUGGGAACCAUGAGGUUGCGGGUUCGAUCCCUGCCCUUGCUGAGUGGGUUAAUGCUCCGGUGUUGCCGUGAGCUGUGGUGUAGGUCGAAGAUGCGGCUCGGAUCCCGUGUUGCUGUGGCUCUGGUGUAGGCCAGCUCUGAUUAGACCCCUAGCUUGGGAACCUCCAUAUGCCGCGGGAGUGGCCCUAGAAAUGG